rnacentral:rRNA from 1 species
GCCCCCCUUGGGGGGCUGCCUUAUACAUGCAAGUCGAGCGAACGGACGAGAAGCUUGCUUCUCUGAUGUUAGCGGCGGACGGGUGAGUAACACGUGGAUAACCUACCUAUAAGACUGGGAUAACUUCGGGAAACCGGAGCUAAUACCGGAUAAUAUUUUGAACCGCAUGGUUCAAAAGUGAAAGACGGUCUUGCUGUCACUUAUAGAUGGAUCCGCGCUGCAUUAGCUAGUUGGUAAGGUAACGGCUUACCAAGGCAACGAUGCAUAGCCGACCUGAGAGGGUGAUCGGCCACACUGGAACUGAGACACGGUCCAGACUCCUACGGGAGGCAGCAGUAGGGAAUCUUCCGCAAUGGGCGAAAGCCUGACGGAGCAACGCCGCGUGAGUGAUGAAGGUCUUCGGAUCGUAAAACUCUGUUAUUAGGGAAGAACAUAUGUGUAAGUAACUGUGCACAUCUUGACGGUACCUAAUCAGAAAGCCACGGCUAACUACGUGCCAGCAGCCGCGGUAAUACGUAGGUGGCAAGCGUUAUCCGGAAUUAUUGGGCGUAAAGCGCGCGUAGGCGGUUUUUUAAGUCUGAUGUGAAAGCCCACGGCUCAACCGUGGAGGGUCAUUGGAAACUGGAAAACUUGAGUGCAGAAGAGGAAAGUGGAAUUCCAUGUGUAGCGGUGAAAUGCGCAGAGAUAUGGAGGAACACCAGUGGCGAAGGCGACUUUCUGGUCUGUAACUGACGCUGAUGUGCGAAAGCGUGGGGAUCAAACAGGAUUAGAUACCCUGGUAGUCCACGCCGUAAACGAUGAGUGCUAAGUGUUAGGGGGUUUCCGCCCCUUAGUGCUGCAGCUAACGCAUUAAGCACUCCGCCUGGGGAGUACGACCGCAAGGUUGAAACUCAAAGGAAUUGACGGGGACCCGCACAAGCGGUGGAGCAUGUGGUUUAAUUCGAAGCAACGCGAAGAACCCUUACCAAAUCUUGACAUCCUUUGACAACUCUAGAGAUAGAGCCUUCCCCUUCGGGGGACAAAGGACAGUGGUGCAUGGAUGUCGUCAGCUCGUGUCGUGAGAUGUGGGUUAAGUCCCCGCAACGAGCGCACCCCUUAAGCUUAGCUGCCAUCAUUAAGUUGGCCACCUCUAGUUGGACUGCCGUGACCAACCGGAGGAAGGUGGGAAUGAACGUCAAAUCAUCAUGCCCUAAUGAAUUGGGCCUACACACCAGCGGUGUCCUAUCACAUAGUGGGGAC